CCUUAGUUACUCUCUGUCUCUCUUAGACCAUCUGAAUCAAAUUAGGGCAUUAGGAUUUAGGGCUUAGGAUAUCAUCUGAAUCGAGAAUCUACUGCGAGUCUGCGUCUGCGAGUCUACGUCUCUACGAGUUACGACCAGUCGACAGUCGAGCUCGAGUCUCAUCUCAUCUUCACCGGUUAACUUCACUACUUUUGUAAGUUUUGGUUAUAGGCGGUGAUUUCCAGCUUGAUUCAAUUCCUCACUCCUCACAAAUUCCGGGCAAACGAAGUGUCGAAGACGCUGCUGUCCUGUUCCAAUGUUCCGAGCUCGAUUCAAUUUCAAUUUCAAAGAUAUGGAAAAUAAUGGAAGCACUACUAGCAUUGUUUGAUGUAUAGUUGCAACUUGCAUCUUGAGUGGUUCCAGUACUGCUCAACGCUCCGUGCUACUGCUCAACGCCCCGUGCUACUGCUCAAGACUGUUUGUUGAGGGAUGCCCCUCUCUGUUUUUGUUGCACUAUGUUUAACUGUUUAAGUGUUAAGACUGUGCAGACUUGCAGUUGACCAGUUGCAGUGUUGCACUGUGUUUAAGUGUUAAUACUUAAGAGUUAAGACUGUUUUUGUUCGACUGUGUUUAACUUGUUUAACUGUGUUUAAGUUGUUGGACUUGUUGGACUGUGUUAAGGUUUAACUGUGUUUAAGUUGUUUAAUAUAGCUGUGUAAUGUGCAUUGUGCAGUUGGCCAGCUUUUGCCAACUACAGUAUACGCCAGAUUCAUUGCAAGUUUGUAUAUGACAUACAGUAUUGACAUUCAGUAUUGACUAUAUGAAAUUGUGGGUAUACUGGCGUGCAACGGUGCAAGUUUGUAUAAUGUGUAUUGACUAUAUGACAUACAGUAUUGACUAUUGA